rnacentral:ncRNA from 1 species
UUCUUCGGGGUCGGGUGAAAGUCCCAACCGGCGGUAGAGUCCGCGACCCGGUGUUGUUUUUCACACUGGCUGAUCCGGUGAGAUUCCGGAACCGACAGUACAGUCUGGAUGAGAGAAGAG